rnacentral:piRNA from 1 species
UUGCCUUUUCAUAUCAUUGAAUUCACAAAUU